CUGUGAUGUCCCAUAAGGCUUGUUAUCUGGCUGAACACAACACCGUGAUGCCACAGGAGGUGUGUUAUCUGGCUCAAUAGAACCCUGUGAUGACAUUUGAUUUUCACUGGCUAACUGAAUAGAAUACUGACUGUGAUGUCACAUGAGACUUGCUAUCUAGCUGCAUAGGACACUGUGAUGUCAUUUGAUUAUUACUGGCUGCCUGAAUAGAACACUGUGAUCUCACAUGAG